AUGGAUGAGAUCGCUGAAGAAAUCGACACGCUCCGCGAGGAGGUGGGCGUUUUGAGCCACAAGCAGGACAAGAUCCAAGAUCAAAUCGAUCAGGUCAACACCAGGUUACUCUCUAUCGAAUCCCUGGAAAAGCAAUCGGGUAAGGUCGAGUUGCUAGUGGAAAAGAAUGCAGAAGUCCAGCAAGAGAUUUUCUCCAUCUUGCGCACCAUGCGGUCUGAAAAUCCCAGCCCACCCUCCCCUGAAACUCAGUUUCAGGCAAACCACACGGCACAGUACCAGUCUGACCGUGCUGCUCAGUUCAUGAAGAGUAUUUCCAAAUGGCCCAAACUGGAUUUUCCUUGUUUCAAUGGAGAAAACCCCCUGGGUUGGAUUCGGCAGGUCACCAAAUACUUCCAACUUGCUCAAACACCGGAGAAAUGUAAGGUGGAUCUGGCCUUGACUUACUUCACAGGAAGAGCAGACAAUUGGGUUAGGAGCACUCAACUGGAUAAUGUAAAAACAACAUGGGAUGAAUUUUGCAGGAUGAUAUGUGACAGAUUUGCUGACCACAAUAUCUAUGAAAUACUAGAAAAGUUCCACAGCCUCAAACAAAAUACAUCGUCAAUUGCUGCUUAUACUGACAAAUUUGAGGAAAUUAUGGCCAUUAUCAGAGCUGAACAUCCUUACUUGCAAGAGCAAUAUUAUGUAGUCGGUUUUGUCAAUGGACUAAAGCCCAACAUAAGAUGUAACUUAAGGCCACAGAGACCUAAAACCCUUAGCCAGGCUUAUUGGUUAGCAAGGGAUUAUGAAAGUGGAAUACAGGCCAACUACCAAUCCUAUGUGAAUCAACAAGAGAGAUUGCAAGCUCACUCUGGCCAGCAAAAGCACACUAUAACACCAGCUCCAAAUUUACAGAUUCCACCUGCAGCUCCAGCAGCAAAGAAGCCAGGUAUAUGUUGGAGGUGUAAUGGACCAUGGGUGCCAGGCCAUAAGUGCAAACAAGCACCUUCAGUACAUGUUAUAGUUGGACCUGACAGUUCUGAAGAAGUAACCCCUGAGGAAGAGGCCCAACUUGCAGUUCUCACAGCUGAAGGCCAAUGGACUGAAUCUGAUAACCAAUGUAUGCACAUCUCUGCCCAAGCAAUAUCAGGAAACACUUCCCCUUCUACUCUAGCAGUGAACAUCAUUGUAGGAGGAAGACAAGGUGUAGCUCUGGUGGAUACUGGCAGUACUAAUACAUUCAUUGACAGGAAGUUUGCUCUCAAAACUAACUAUCAGUUGUUAAAUACACCAACAAAGAAGGUGACAGUAGAAGGUGGGGGAACAUUAACUUCAGGUGCUUAUGCCCCCAAAACCAGUUUCAAGAUCUGCAAUGAAACAUUUUCCAAUGACUUCAUAGUGUUGGAACUGCAAGGUUAUGAUGUGGUGCUAGGUUGUGACAUGCUCAAGCAACAUAAUCCCAUAGCUAUGGACUUUGAGGCUAGGACUGUUACCAUGACAAAAGAUAAGCUGACUCCAGUCACAUUUCCUGAUUAUACAACUACUGCUGUUCCAAAAAUUAUAUCAGCAGAAAAGUUGGAACAAAUGUGCUCUAAAGGUGCAGUAGGUUUUACAAUGAGCCUUCAGUUCAUGUCAACUGCAAGCAGUAAUUUCAUUGCUGCACAAAAAACACCAGAGGAUAUACUGCAAUGGCUCGUUCAGUGGUUGAAUAUGUCUCCUGAAGAAGCUACAUGGGAGGAUGCGGACUUCAUCAAAUUCACAUUCCCAGAUUUCUUCAAUGCCACAAUUCGCGCUUGGUUCCCACAGAAUGAUCCUCGGGGACAAGGAUCGUCUUCUGGAGGGGGCAAUUGUCAGGACCCUGAAGUUCAGACGCAAGACUCUGAAGAAGUGAACAUCUUAACUGAAGAAAUGAACAGCGAGGAUGAAGCGUUACGUACCUGGGAAAUGGAAGGCCAGAAUUGGAGUUGUUCGAGUGGAUUUGUGUGUUUACCCUUGAUCAUAGUCCUGUCACUUGGAGACGAGCCGAGGGGCGUAGAGGAAGGAGACGAUGACUACAGACCGCUUGGAAGCCGUGCCGUAGCUCGAGGUGACCGGUGGCCGCGGGAUCGACGAGGGCGCGACUACGAUGGCGUCCGGGUGAGCUCGGGUUUGAGCAGAAACGGGGCGAGGGGGAGGAACUGGGACGCGACUCAUCUGACGUACGGCCCACACACUGACAUGUGGGCCUGGACCCACCUGUCAGUGGCCCAACGUCAAGGGGAUCCGGCUCCGAGGAACUGGGGCUAG
rnacentral:rRNA from 1 species